rnacentral:lncRNA from 1 species
UAUAUUUCAUCUCAAAGCUCAUCAUCCAAGAGCACUAAAAGAGAAAAAACAACUAGGGUUGCAUAAUUAAGCUUGAAGAUCCGAUUUCAAGGAAAUUCCUCCAUCAAUCAUCAAGAAUCUUCCUUCUAAGGUAUGCGUAGUGUUCAUCUAUGGAUUUAAUUCGUUCAUAGAGUUCAAGAAUCAAUCUUUAAAAUACAAAAGCUUGGUUGAUUGUGGUGAUAUGAUCAUACCAUGUUGAUUCUUGUUUGUUUUUCCUCUUUUUUAUUAUAAAGUAUGAUUUUGAUAUUGUUGGGUAUUGAUGAUCAUGUUGUUGAAAUUGGGUGAUUCCCAAGAUGGAAUCUUUAUAUAUUUUUGUGAAUUCAUGAUAUCACAUGAGUUGGAAAUAUGUAAAUUUGGUUGUUCAUGAUGUAUAAUUUGAUGAAUUCACCUAUGCUUAAUAUGUGCAUGUAAGGUGUUUGAUAAAAUGCCUAAGAAACUAGAAAUCAUGCAAUAUAGCUAAAUUGUGACUAAGUGAAGGAUUCAUGAUAUGCCCUUACGUUCCAAUGACUUCUAUGUUGUUAAUGUGCCUUGUAAAUAUAGUUGGAAUACUCAUGAACUAUUCUUAUGAGAUUAUGUUAUGUUUACUUGCAAAUCCUACUUAUGAACAAGAUGUAUGAUAUCCAUGCAAUCCACAUAAACUUCUAUGCUAUCAGUAUGUGUUGCCAAUAUGGUUAUGCAAUGAACAUGAUAUUAAGAUUGUGCAAGUACUUCCAUGUGUUAUGAAAUCCUUUCCAUGCAAUACAUUGUUGAUAACCAUGCUUAGUAUGAGAUCCCUACUUAUGAGAUUAUGCUUAGUAUGAGAUCCCUACUUAUGAGAUUAUGCUUAGUAUGAGAUCCCUACUUAUGAGAUUAUGCUUAGUAUGAGAUCCCUACUUAUGAGAUUAUAAAUUAUGGACUCUACUCUUAUGAUCAAGUCAGUCAUGUGUGUCAGUUUCCUUCCAUCGAGUCCUGGGGGUACUUAUACCCAAAAACUAUAGCUCUGUGCCUAGAUCCAUGUUAUGUUUCACGAUAUCUAAACUUAAGCUAUGAUUCCAUAGACUUUAGUCAGUCAUGUAACUCAAGAAAACCUCAUGAUCUUAGUCAGUUGUCAGAUAUCAGUAACAUUCCACCAGUCAACGGAAUUCAGUAAGAUUAAGUCAUGCACCGUCAGUUAUUUAUGUCCAGUCCCUCCAGAUGGGAGUAGAGGUUAGCACCAAGUAAACCCAAGGAUGGGAACUCACCCGCUAGUUCAGGGUGUGAUUCUUAGUAGUAUUCCUUGUGUUCCAGAACUACGUAGCUAGCGUAGGUUGAGAUAUCUUAACCCAUUAGAUUAGGGUUGAUGAGGUGGCUUAACCCAUCAGUUUAGGGUUCCCACCGUUCUUAUUUGAGUACCUGCUAGUAUAGUGUCGCACAGCUGUCCUUACCAGUGGUGCGGUAUUGACACCCCUCCAUUCGGGGCAGAGAUUAGACCCUAGCUUAGCCAUAAUGGCAUACAUAGGGCAUGCCGAUUAAACACUACUUCCCACAGUUUCAGUAAUAGUCUCAGUAAAAGAACUCAAGGCGUUCUUCAGAUAUUAGUAUAUACAGAACUGUCAGAUACUGUCGUCCAUGUUAUCAAUUUCAUUAUCAGUGAUGACAGUUAUCAGUAAACCUUGUAUUAGCUUACAAGCCAUGCUAUCACGUAUUCACGGUCCCAAUUUUUAUAUAUGUGUGUUUGCACUCCCACGUUCAUAUUAGUCAGUUAGUGUUGUUCAUGCAUGAAACCCUUUAUGUUCAGCCUACCUUCCUCGUAUACUCAGUACUCCAUUUUUACUGAUGCAUUUGCGCUAUGAUGCUUUCUUUUCAUGUUAUACCAUAGGUUCCGAAACACGAGCUCCAACCCAGUAGUAGUGGUAGCGCUCCAGUCGUAGAGACACAACGAGUCCUCAUUGAUUCAAGGAAAAUAUAAUUUGAUUCAUUUAUUUCUUCAGUUUAGUUUUACAAAGUUAGUUGGAGACAUGUUCCUUCAACUCCUUAUUCAGACAGUUAGAGGCUUUCAGAUUUAUGUCCAGAUUUAGUUGUUUUGGGUAUUUUUGCCCACAUGAUUGUAUUCAGUUGAACCUUAUGGCCUUACAGUUCCAUGUAUUUUGCAUUAUUAUAUUAUGAUUUACAGUAUUCAAGUACAGAUAUCAGUCAUGGGUUAGCUUGUGGUCCCUCGGGGUCAUGAGCACCGUGUAGCAUUCUGGUUCAGCAAAUCGGGGUGUUACAUUUUGAGAGAGUGUAUUCGAGUCUAGUAGAGCGAGGCGGAGAAAAGAGGUUAUACAGGCUCGCCAAAACUAGGGAGCGUAAGGGUAGGGAUCUGGACCAAGUGAAGUGCAUUAACGGGAAGGAUGGAAAAGUUUUGGUGGAGGACGUUCUUAUUAUGAAAAUAUGGUAGUCGUAUUUUCAUAAGCUCUUGAAUAAUGAGGGGGACAGAGGUAUUGUGUUAGGGAGUUGGAGCACACUAAGAAAUCUUGUGACUUUGGCUAUUGGAGGUGUUUUAAGGUAAAGGAAAUUGGGGAGGCUAUUCUCAAGAUGCGAUGAGGUAGGGCGACGGGGCUGGAUGAGAUUUUGGUGAAUUUUUGGAAGUUUGCUAGCGGUGCUAGAUUGAGGCGGCUUACCCAUUUGUUUAACAAAGUUUUCAAGACUGGUAAAAUUCCUGAGGCAUGGAGAUGGAGCACGAUGAUUCCUUUAUAUAAGAACAAAGGACGGUCAGAGUUAUAAUAAUUAUCGUGGUAUUAAGUUAUUGAGUCACACGAUGAAGUUUUGGGAGAGGGUGGUGGAACAGAGGUUGAGAAAAAUAGUGCCUAUUUUGGAUAAUCAAUUUAGAUUUAUGCCUGGUCGCUCAACGACUGAGGCAAUUCACCUAGUGAAGAGGCUGGUAGAGCAGUAAAGAGAGAGGAAGAGGGAUCUGCAUAUGGUGUUUAUUGACUUGGAAAAGGCUUAUGAAAAGGUCCCUAUGGAGGUUCUAUGGAGAUGCUUGAAGGUGAGAGGGAUCCCUGUGGCGUACAUUAGAUCAAUUAAGGACAUAUAUAAGGGGUUAAAGAUGUGGGUAAGGACGGUGGGAGGGGACUCUGAGCUUUUUUAGAUCUUGAUAGGGCUGCAUCAAGGUUCGACUCUUAGUCCAUUUUUAUUUGCCUUGGUGAUGGAUGUGUUAAUGCGUGAUAUACAAGAGGAGGUUCCUUGAUGUAUGCUCUUUAUAGAUGAUGUAGUUUUGAUUGAUGAGUCGCGCUGAGAUGUUAAUAAUAAGCUGGGGGUUUAGAGACAGACCCUAGAAUCUAAAGGAUUCUAGUUGAGUAGGACAAAAAUAGAGUACUUGGAGUGCACGUUUAGUGAUGCGAGGUAAGAAAAUGAGGUAAAGGUAAAGUUGGAGUCACAGGCUGUUUGUAAGAGAGAUAGUUUUAGGUAUCUUGGGUCUAUGAUACAAGGGAAUAAUGAGGUUGAUGAGGAUGUCUCCCACCGUAUUGGGGAAGGUUUGAUGAAAUGGAGGCUUGCCUUGGGAAUUUUGUGUGAUAAGAAGGUGCUUUUUAAGCUUAAAGAUAAAUUUUAUAGAGCUACGGUCUAACCGUCUAUGUUAUAUGGGGCUGAGUGCUGGACGGUUAAGAGUUCUCACAUCCAAAGGUUGAAAGUUGUGGAAAUAAGAAUGUUGCAUUGGAUGUGUGGAUUUACGAGAGCUGACAAGGUCAGGAAUGGGACUAUUUAGGAGAAAGUGGGAGUGGUGUCGGUAGAUGGUUUGGCCAUGUCAUGAGAAGGGGCACGGAUGCCCCAAUUCAUAGGUGUGAAAGGUUGGCCUUGGAGGGUUUCAAGUGGGGUAGGGAUAGACCUAAGUGGUACUGGAGAAGAGUGAUUAGAUGUGACAUGGAAUAGUUAUAGCUUACUGAGGAUAUGACCCUCGAUAGGAAGGUUUGGAAGAAGAGUAUUAAGCUAGAGGUCUAAGGAGUGGGUUUGAGUCGUAGUCUGUAGAUAGGAAGGUCAAGGGUAGCUUGGUUGGUAGCUCUAGGUUUGGGGGAUGGAGGGUCCUUGGUGGUGUCUUGUUUGUGAAUGUUGAUUCUUUGUUACUUUAACAUAAUGCUUUCCUUUUGGUUAUUAUACUUUAUUUUGGUGGAUGUUGGUGCUAUGUUAUUUUAUUAUUUUGCUUGCCUGUUGGUCUACAGUCCUUGCUCCUGAGCCGGGGGUCUAUCGGAAACAGCCUCUCUACCCCCUUUGGGGGUAGUGGUAUGGACUGUGUACUUUUUACCCUCCCUAGACUCCACUAUGUGGGAAUAUACUAGGUAUAUUAUUGUUGUUGUUGUUGUUGGAAUAUGGUCAUGUUAGGAGGUUACACCCUUCUUGGCAAGUUGCCUCAAACAAAGGGCUCUUGGAGAAAUAUCAAAUCUCUUAGAGUCAAUAAACCUGCACAUCUUGCUUUGACUGUUACAUCAGGAGUAUCUUCACGUAUUGCUUGACGUAAAAUAGAUAGUGGAUUCUUCUUUGAAGGUCAAGGCAGAUGACUGGGUGAUAUAUCCACGCUGCUCUUGAAUAAUUUUGAGCAACAGAUCUUUCAUCCUUAUCCGUACAAUUCCUGCAUUAGAUUUUUAAUGAGCAUCUAAAGAGUAGCAGCUAACUGCAACAACAAUUAUAUUCCAACAUAGUCAGAUUAAUUGUAUUUCAGAAAGCACUAAACAAUUAACCAGUUCUCUCUAUGCAUAUAGAUAUAUUGAACAUCAGGCCCUUAGCAUGAUUAUGAAAUUGAAGAUAACACACUUGGAAUCAAGUUACACAAUAAAGUCAGAUAGCAUUUCUCAAAACACUAACCAUAUGCAUCAGGGUCUGAAGGAGAUAGACUUCUUGAAAUCACCCUCUGUGUAGUAUUAGUUUUCCACCUUAAAACUGGGGCCACAGUCUGGUGAUUACUUAAACUUCCCUCAUCUAUUUAUUCGAGUUUGUCAACCAAAGUUAAUGAACUAAAAAGCAACUAUCACCUGCUAAAAAGAAACUAUCUUAGAAGAUAUUAGUGAUGAAAAUGAGAGUAUCCAACAUUGGAAAAGAAUUAACCUUUAGGAAAGGAGCUACAUGAAAAUGAGUGUAUCCAACAUUGGAAAAAAAUUAACCUUCAGGAAAGGUGGUAUUGUUAGGACCUCAUUACCAUGGACUCAUUCAAUUCCCAAUUGAUAUAUUAAUAGGCGCAAGAGGUUUUUUAAUCACAAAAGUUUAAGAUUAUCAUUUAUUCAUCAAAAUGACUGAAAAAUAACAUACUUACACAUUAUACUUAUUAAGAAUCCAUAGAAAACACUGCAAAACAACACAGGUAACAAACUUCAAAAAAACAUAACCAUUUGCAUCAGGAUUCUGAACGAUAUAGGCUUCUACUACUUUCUACAUUGGUCUUAAAAUCGUCAUUUGCAUAGUAUGUGUUUGUCAGCUUAGAGUUGGAACCAUAUUCUGGUAACUUCUUAAACUUCACCAUUAAUUUAUUUUUUCGACUUUGUGAAUCCUUGUAAAAAUAAAGAUAACACCUGCAAAAAUAAUUAACCUUCAGAAAAGGUGAUAUUCUUGGCACCUUAUUACCCUGGACGCAUUCAAUUCCCAUUGAUUGAGGUAUUAAUAGGCACAAGAGGAUUUUUAAUAAAACUUAUAGUUCCACAUGAGCCUAAAUAUUGUACUCAGCUAUAUAAACAUCUUGAUAAUUAUAUACAACAGCCUUCAACACCAAAUGCUUUCGAUGGUUGAUUCCACCAGCUGUAUGACAACUAUAAAUGACAACUAUAUCUCCUCGUAGGCAAAGAUCCCACUUUCAUGUUGCAUUGGAAUUUCUCAAUGUCUUUAGUACCUGAAGAUUUUUCAUAUGUUUGUGAUGAUGGUAUUUCUUGAAGAUUUACUGAAACCUUGAGAAAAACGGAGAUAUAGGAUAACUUUCAUAUAGUAGAGAGGUUGUUGACAUUCUGUUUUACUUACUUCUUUCCAGAAAGAGAAGAGUUGGCAACUCCAUAUAUGUGUCAAAGAGAUACUUACAGUUGCAUUCGUUGGCAUUAAAGCCACAGUGCAAGGCAUAGCAGCGGUACACCUACUAGGAAGUGAACUGAGCAGAGAGCACUUGUGGGCAGCAAUGAAGGGUUCUGCUUUUGACAGGGACAGAGAAUGUUUCUGGAGAAGAAAGAAACUUUUAUUAUUUAUGCUCCAAGAUUAAAAUAUCUUUAGACAUAUGUACGACAUUUUGUAUCUUAAUGUUAGUAUUAAUAUGGAUGACUAUUGUAU